rnacentral:rRNA from 1 species
UAAAAACUUAUUUAUUUUAGGUAGUAACAGAUUUCUUGAAACCUAAAGAAUUUGGCGGUAUUUUAAAUAAUUAGAGGAACCUGUUAAAUAAAUGAUAAUCCACAACAUAUCUUACCUUAAUUGAGUUUGUAUACCGUUGUUUUCAGAUUAUAUUUAAAAAUCAUAAUCAAAAUUAAUUAAUUUUCGUAAAUCAAAUCAAGGUGCAACAUAUUUGGGUCUUAAUGGGUUACAAUAUAUUUAUAUAAACGGAUUAAUUAUGAAAAUGUUUUUGAAGGCGGAUUUAAAAGUAAUUUAAAAUUAAAAUGUUUAGAUGAAUAAAAAUUUAAAAUAUGC